GGGCCGGUUCCAUAAAUUAAUUCAAUGCAAGUAAUUGAUUUUUGAGCAUAAUAAGGCCGACUUUUAAUCUUUUGGUCGAAGGUUCGAAUCCUUCACGGCCCACCA
rnacentral:tRNA from 1 species